rnacentral:lncRNA from 1 species
GAGUAUGGGAAUAAUAUUCAAGAUUCAAUACAAUUUCCACAUUAGUCAGAUUAGUUUCUUAUCACGUUAUCAGUACGAGGCUCUAACCAAUUGAGAUUACCGGCAAUCUGAAAUCAUCUACAAGACUCUCCGCUGAGAUUUACCGGAAUCCACUUUGAUAUCCACCAAUUCUUCUGCAAUUUCGACAAUUACAUUUCAUCAAAUCCGGAAAUAUGUAUACCAGCUCCAGCAGAGCUAUUAUUGGUGAUGAAUGUUUGGUGAAGAGCGAAUACGAGUAGCGUCGGUUCGACUUUAAUGAGAGGCGAGGUUUUAUCGAUUGUUCCAGUGUCGUGAUUUCAUGCAGGUAGAGGUCGGGUUUCCGCGCAUCUGGGAGAGCCAAGGGGCUGGCGACGGUCGAGUAGUCGACCUUGACCAUAACACCCGGUGUCACGAUGGUUGACACGUCGUUUCUUACCGUUAUAAAAACAAUCUUUAUAAAAAUGACAUGAUUCUAAACAUGAUCCUUCAUUCACGAUUUGAUUUGAUUUGAUGUAUACCAAAUAUCAAAUUAUCAAUGUCUAUUAUAUAGUGUUAAGCUUUCAU